rnacentral:lncRNA from 1 species
UGGGAUUUUCGUGGAGAGCCUUGUUCUACAUUCUGUGACUGGCCUGGUGGACUCCAGAGCAAUGCUACAAAGUCCCCAUGAUGCUAGAUCAUUUCCAACAGGGCGUGGACCAUCUGCUCGUGGCGCUGGAUCGUCCUCAGCAAGCCCUCGACGAUCUUUCAAGAAGGCAAAGAGCAAUAUAAACAUGCAGUGGAGGUUGGCAUAGAUCUCGCAAACGCCUGACAUCAUAUCCAUGAAUAGUUCUCUGCUAUGUACAAUCCAAUAAAGUUUACUGGUGUUUGUUUGUGUAGAGAUGAAGAAAUAGACCAUGGGGGUGUGGGUCUGGGACAGGGUAGAACAUAAGAAGCAAAUAAGAAAGUGUCUCUGUUAGCAGUUUGUUCAUUUUUAUCGUAUGGGGAUUUAUGUGCUGUACUGGAAAAUAAAAUGAAAACUCUGAACCUGAUAUACUGUAUACUUGUUCUGGUUUGCUGUAAUGAACUGUAUUCCUGCGUUGCAUUUUUGAAAAUUAUGAUGCCAAGACUAAUAAUUCAAACCGCUGUCUCCGGUUGUUGCAUUUAU